UGGCUCAGAUAGUAAAGCAUCUGCCUGCAGUGCAGGAGACCCAGGUUCGAUCCCUGG
rnacentral:tRNA from 1 species